rfam:Cajanus cajan CcLG05_167, whole genome shotgun sequence.
AGCAAUCAAUGAUGAUAGUUUCUAAUAUGCUGAGUGUCUGUGAUUAUUAUUAUAAACAUCACCAUCUUUCGGCUGAGAUUGCU